CCCAGAGUGGUGUGAUGGUAGCAUCCCCAGUUGACACAUGGUGAAAACCAUGACCUUCGGGGGCCGGGGGGGCCGGGUUCGAUUCCCGGCUCUGGGA
rnacentral:tRNA from 1 species